GGGAAAAAGAUCUUGAAGAAGCUCUGGAAGCAGGAGGUUGUGAUCUUGAAACGUUGAGAAAUAUAAUUCAAGGAAGACCGCUGCCUGCUGAUCUGAGGGCCAAAGUUUGGAAGAUUGCUCUGAAUGUUGCAGGAAAAGGUGAUAGUUUGGCAUCAUGGGAUGGUAUUUUAGACUUGCCAGAACAGAACACUAUUCACAAAGAUUGCCUGCGGUUUAUUGACCAGCUUUCAGUGCCAGAGGAGAAGGCAGCAGAAUUACUUUUGGAUAUUGAAUCUGUAAUUACCUUUUAUUGUAAAUCACGUAACAUUAAAUAUAGCACAUCCCUUAGCUGGAUACAUCUACUGAAACCAUUGGUGCAUCUUCAACUGCCACGCAGCGAUUUAUACAACUGCUUUUAUGCCAUAAUGAAUAAGUACAUUCCCAGGUAAAAUAUGAUUCAGUUAUUGUAGUUUUUAACAGUGAAUACAGGCCUGGUUUGCUUUGAGCUAAAGUUGCUAGAUUUACUUUGGCGGUAAAGUAAAAGGUUCAAAUAAUUUUGAAGGUUGUUUGAUCCAUAAUUGUUAUUUUAUUUUUGUGGUUAUAAACAUUUUUUAAAAGAUUCUUUAGUUAAAAAUGUAUACUUCUGAAACAGUGGUUAUACUGGGGUUGGAGUUGGGGAGGAA
rnacentral:sRNA from 1 species